rnacentral:rRNA from 1 species
GUUUGAUCCUGGCUCAGGAUAAACGCUGGCGGCGUGCCUUACGCAUGCAAGUUGAACGAAGCCCGGCCUUCGGGUCGGUGACUGAGUGGCAAACGGCUGAGUAACGCGUAGGUGAUCUGUCCCGAGGAGGGGAACAACUCGUGGAAACGCGAGCUAAUGCCCCAUACGCCCACCGGUUCAGCCCGGUGGGGAAAUGUUCCGGCGCCUUGGGAGGAGCCUGCGUCCGAUUAGCUAGUUGGUGGGGUAACGGCCUACCAAGGCAGCGAUCGGUAGCUGGUCUGAGAGGAUGAUCAGCCAGACUGGGACUGAGACACGGCCCAGACUCCUACGGGAGGCAGCAGCGAGGAAUCUUGCACAAUGGGCGAAAGCUGAUGCAGCAACGCCGCGUGGGUGAUGAAGGCCUUAGGGUUGUAAAUCCCUUUUGCCGGGGAAGAAUUUUWACGGUACCCGGCGAAUAAGCCACGGCUAACUACGUGCCAGCAGCCGCGGUAAGACGUAGGUGGCGAGCGUUAUCCGGAUUUACUAGGCGUAAAGCGUACGUAGGCGGCUCCAUAAGUUUGUWGUGAAAUCUCCCGGCUCAACCGGGAGC